rnacentral:lncRNA from 1 species
UUAUCUUCUGGACUCUUCUAGCUGCCUCAGUUCGACCUCCAUGAAGCGUUUCCCACAAAGUGAGACCGUGAGAUGCCAGUCCGCCAUCCGAGGCCAUCGUCGUCGCUGGCGGCAAGUAGGGAUCCUUUGCGGUUAGCACGGCCCGCGUCUGGCGCGUCCAAGCCCGGGCCUAAGUUGUGGCAGCUGCUCCCAUGCCUAUGUUCCCCUCUGUUCGAGCUCAGAGAUGAUUCACUGGUGAGAUGCGGUCUGCCGUCUGAGGUCGUUGCUGUGGCCGGCGGCAAGGCGAGAGCUAUUGCGGAUAGCACCGCUUGCGUCGGGGGCGCCAAAGCCCGAUCCUAAGUUGUGGCAGCUGCUCCAUGUCGCUGUUCCCCUCCGAACAGCGUCGCGUGCUGCUCCAUGCCGCCGUUCCCCGCCGAACAGCAUCGCGUACGGGGGCGGUCAGUUGGUACCCCAAGAUACAGCACAAGCUCGUGCAAACUCACUUGAAGUUUGGAGCUCGAUGCAAGCUCAAAGGGAGAGGUGAGUGCUACCCCCAUAUACUACUUCAUGUACGUGUAAUUUUCCUUUCCUGUAGCUCAAAGUAAUGGAAACAGAGUGCACAUAUGCGUGUACUCUAGUUUGAUGUGCAGCUUCACCUUUCCAUUCUUAGUUUUCAAUCUGGAAAACUAAAUCAUGAAGGAAUAACCAGCAACUAAUUUGUAUUCAUAUAUAUCUUUAUUUGAGCAUAAAACUGUUGCUCGACUUCUGAAAAAUCCAUAUACCAUGUCAAUGUUACUACACCACACCCUGAACCAUGAGUAUAUAUAAGCAAAAAAAAUCUAAAGAAAUAUGAGUUACACGUUCAGUUGUCAUCACUAAAUAAAAUUAUUGGCAUGAAGGAUAUGUCAAAGUCCGAGGAUCACAACGAAUGAAGCUAUUGGUAUCCUUCAAACCAUGCCAUGUUACAAUCUCUGAUGAAAAUAAUUAUACACUACCUUGACACAUCUUCAAUGAAAAAAAUCAAGUAAUAAAAGCGUGCAAGAAUAUUAAAGUACAUAUGUGCCAAAAGUUCUAAAUUAAUGUCUUAUCAACAUAUAUUAUUCAUGAACUGAGAAUCACAAAUGACGGCAAGCACAAUUAAGUAGCAAAAGGUGCUUAUUUAGGCUUCAAAGUUAAAGCCAGAAAGAAGUAACCUGUCAAUGUCUGUUAUGAACUGAGGGCACCAAUCAAAUCUGAUUCUAUUCUAACCUAAAUACUACAUGAGUACACAUAGUAAAGAAAUUCUAAAGCCGCUUGACUUGAAGUAGCCUCUGCAAGCUUGUCAGUGUGGAUUGCACACAGAAAAUGCCAUGCUCUACUUGUCCAGUAAUUAACCAUCUGCUUGACAAGACAAAAGGAUCUGAUAAUUGUAUUAGGUUAGUAUUACUAUAGCACAAAUUGAAUCAAAUGGUCCCUAGUGCUGCACAUCCAAACUACACUGGUUAAUUGUAGCCUAUGAUUAAUUGAUAGAUUGAUCGAUAAAGCAAUUCAAUUACAGUCCGUGAGUGGUCUAAGGGAAUUGUGGUAGCCUGUUAGUUGGGCCUUGGAACUGUUCUCCUCAGAGCUGAGUUGCGCCCCCAUGGCGGCGAAUAGGCCUUCCACACGCUUGCACACCACACUGCCAUCCAACAACAAGUGGUGCAGUAGAUGCAUGUGAGAUCUGCACACGCACACGCGUCUGCUGGGUCCAGUGCCAAAGACGUUCUAAUCUGCCAGCUAAUCUACAACGAAAUUCUAGAAUCAACCAAGAAUUCUACCCUGCGCUCGAAUCUGUUGUUAACCAAAAGAUGUCUACCUAAUAUACUAAUCCCAAAUCCAAAGGAUUUUUUAACAAAUAAGAGGUAUACUUAAUGCAACACCAGGAAGAACGAUAUUGUUGCACCUUGAGGGCAUGCUUCAUGGAAAUCAAUUUCUACAUCAGCAAGGGACAAACGCAUUGAACGACAUCACUUUGAUAUAGAAUAAUGAAGAGCGAACAUGAGACAACUAAACAAUAAAACAUGAACUUAUGUUUAUUUGGCAUGCAAGAAUUGAAGCAUACAUGAUAAAGAUGAAAAAUCAGUAAAGAUGUAUCUAUAGAACCUCUGAGCAGCAAUACAUAUACUUUACACCGCUGAUGUUCUAUAGCUAGGCUCCAGUUUAACCAAAUAUCACUACCAAAGAAAUGGAAAUAAAUAGUUCACAACCUUGAGCUCAGUAAAAAAAAUCCUAGAGCAUGAAUGCGCAAUCGUCCUCUGAAGGAGAGCCGCAAUGACUUGCAAUAUUUUUUCCCUUUUAGUUUCCAUAAGAGCUUAUUCAAUUUUUUAUCCAAAUUGAUCUGCCUAAAUAGUCAAGCUGAUACUUAGAAGGCACAAAGUUGAAAGACAGUUGCAGAACCUACCAUUGCAUUUGACUAAGAAAUUCACAGAAUUUUAAGAUGAGACAGAAACAACAACGUUAUAUAACCAAGGAGCACCAGUCAAAUCAUGCAUCGUGUAGUUCUUAAUGGAAACAAAACUGUAUAUAAUAACUUCAGUUAUCUAUCUUCAGGAUGAAAAUCAUGGGAAAGAAGUGAACCAGAAUCAAUAAGUUCAGUGAGAAUCUGCUACUCAUGAUCGCUGUCAAUAUACAUGUGAACACUUCUGUAGAUUUCUUCAAGGUCAAUCAUUUUCUUUAAGACAAGCUCUUUCAUUUUGCUACUUUCGAAUGCUUCAGUCUCUUGACCUCAACCUCUACCUAAACAACGGGGGGAAGGAAUUUCACAUGACAAUUAGUAUAAUUUAAAGAAAUUAGCUUGAUGAAAAUACAAAGAAAAUAAUUAAAUAAAUAGACAAUCAAGAAUCAACUGUAACCUUCUUAAUAAGGUCAUGUGAAAGGCAUCCUUGAGGCAUCACUGUAUUUUGUGAGACUGAAAUCAAAGAAGUAACAUGAUCAAAGCAUUUCUGUUCAUCUAAUGGUGUGUCCGUUAGACUCCAUAACUCAAUGAGUGUGCCUCCAAGAUCAUGUAGCUGCAAUAGAUAAUGCAAAUUUCAACAGUGUGGAUCUUUGAUACAAAGAAAUAUGGAACAAUAUUUAGCAGAAGUUGAAAGGUAAGCAUGCUAAAGUGCACAGGUCAGUAAACCAUACACUGGUCAGGAAUAAAACUGAAUUAGGAUGGCAAACAUGUCAUGUAUAGUGUAUGUAAAUCAUAAUGGAAUGGCAUAAACCAAAUAAAUCGAACUACAAAAGGUUUAGAAACAUUCAUGAUAUGCUUUGCUAAGCUGAAUCGCAUUAUAAAAAGUCUCAAAUUCGAUGACUGCCUUAUUGGAGGUUAAAUAGUAAAACAAUAUACGCCAAGGUGAAAGCAUUGAAGUAAGAUAGAUGCAUGCUCCUGCUUUUAUUAAAUGUACAGGUACAUUGAAUCAUAAGAGUUAAAGAGUGACAAGCAAGACAGCAUAUUCGACAGUUCAGAAAAAUAGAUCAUGAUAUGAUUUGCUAAGCUGAAUCAUAUUAUCAGGCAACUACUCAAACACAAUGACAGGCCCAUACUGGAGGUCAACAAUAAAACAUAUAGACUAAGGUGAAUACGUUAAAGAUACACACAGACCCAUACUUUUGUUAAAUGACUAACAUGAACAGCAAACACCAGGACCUUCCGGAGCCUCUGUUUCUUUUCUUGAUUUAGUGCAUGAACUUUUCCUGCAAGCCUAUCAAGUGUGCUAUCACUUACACUCAUGGAUUUGAUUCUUUCCAAUUCAACAAAGCUGGGAUGAACUUCAUAUAAUGUCUUCUUAAGAUCAAGAGACAUCAUGUUGCACAUUUCAUUAAUACACUUGAUCUGACCAUCAAUCUUUUGCAGUAUGAGAUUCUGAAAACACAUCAGGAGAAACAAUUUAAGCGUUAGAGUUGAAAGAUUAAGGAAAUGAUAGGCUUAUACCAGGUGCCUAACCUUUUCUGUCUGGAGCUCAUCACUGUCCCUUUCUCCCUCACCUCCCUAUCUCCUUUCUGCCCAGGAGCCGCCAUGGAUUUCUGUCCAGGAGCCGCCAUGGAGCCGAGCGGGAAGCGCGCUCCGGCCUUCCUCCGCGUCACCGGCGAUCCCCCUCCCCCUCCCAAAAAUCGCCACGUACGGAUCCGGGCCCUGCAAGCUCCGUCCGCUGCAUAGUGAGAGCUUGGGAGCAUGGAGGAGAGGGGGAUCUGAGGCUUAACGGUGGUUCCUGGUGCUGUGCUCACCGGCGCCGACCAGCGGGCGUCGCGGCACCGGAUCGAGCAUCGCCGGGGUCGGUCGCCUCCUGGCGGCUCGGAUAGAGAGGUGAGGGAGAGCCCGCCACGGGGCUGGCUGGAGGUGGCCGCGGCGGCGCGGGGCGGGGCGGGCCGAC